rnacentral:ncRNA from 12 species
GUUAUUUGAGGUGGUAAAAUGUUGCAACCACACACCCUAGAGGUCAAAAGAGAUGUAGGAACGGCGACUCCUACCAAAUAAC